rnacentral:tRNA from 1 species
GCUCCGGUAGCUCAGUGGUGAGAGCAGGACUCUUAUAAGGUUCAGGGCGAGGGUUCAAUUCCCUCUCGGGGCA